rnacentral:rRNA from 1 species
UACAGAGGUCCCGAGCGUUGUUCGGAUUCACUGGGCGGAAAGGGUGCGUAGGUGGUCGGGUAAGUCCGAGGUGAAAUCUCCAAGCUUAACUUGGAAACUGCCUUGGAUACUAUUCGGCUGGAGGGUUGGAGGGGGGACUGGAAUUCUCGGUGUAGCAGUGAAAUGCGUAGAGAUCGUAAGGAAGACCAGUGGCGAAGGCGGGUCUCUGGACAGUUCCUGACACUGAGGCACGAAGGCCAGGGGAGCAAACGGG